AUACUCUGGUUUCUCUUCAGAUCGCAUAAAUCUUUUGCCUUUUACUAAAGAUUUCCGUGGAGAGGAACCCUUAGGCUGUAACUACUUGUUAGAUCCUUCUUGCGUAUCUC
rnacentral:snRNA from 1 species